rnacentral:rRNA from 1 species
AGUGAACGCUGGCGGUAGGCCUAACACAUGCAAGUCGAACGGCAGCACAGUAAGAGCUUGCUCUUACGGGUGGCGAGUGGCGGACGGGUGAGGAAUACAUCGGAAUCUACUUUUUCGUGGGGGAUAACGUAGGGAAACUUACGCUAAUACCGCAUACGACCUACGGGUGAAAGCAGGGGAUCUUCGGACCUUGCGCGAUUGAAUGAGCCGAUGUCGGAUUAGCUAGUUGGCGGGGUAAAGGCCCACCAAGGCGACGAUCCGUAGCUGGUCUGAGAGGAUGAUCAGCCGCACUGGAGCUAGGACACGGUCCAGACUCCUACGGGAGGCAGCAGUGGGGAAUAUUGGACAAUGGGCGCAAGCCUGAUCCAGCCAUACCGCGUGGGUGAAGAAGGCCCUCGGGUUGUAAAGCCCUUUUGUUGGGAAAUAAAAGCAGCAGGUUAAUACCCCGCUGUUCUGACGGUACCCAAAGAAUAAGCACCGGCUAACUUCGU